GGUUGGGCGAAUUCAAUAUUCGCUUUCAAGAGUUAAAAACUUCUGGGGGUGGGAGGCU
rnacentral:ncRNA from 1 species